UUAAUUGAAACCAAAAUAGAGGUAUAUUAUUGUUAAUAAUAAAAUUGAAAUUCUCCCUUCCAAUUAAA
rnacentral:tRNA from 1 species